rnacentral:lncRNA from 1 species
CUGAAACUGUUGAAUAUGGGAUGAGCAUACAGGUUACACUCAGUGUGGGAACAUGCAAUAAUUGUCCAUGUUAAUAAAAUGGUAACACAUAUUGUCAUAACGUAACAUAAAUUCCAUACGCACUGUGGCAAUCCAAGGACUUUAAUGUCCCGGACCCUAUAUGUGGGCCCCUGGCGACAAUAUAAUGGUUGCAACCCUGUAACAUGAAAUCGCAUUGUGGCAUACCAAGGACGGUGAAGUCCUGGACCAAUUAUGCUGGCCCCUAGCGAUAAAUAUUUUUACAACACAUACGGUAAACACAUAAUAUUAAAAUGGACAAAUAUUAACCACGUGCAUGUACUGAAAUAAAUCCCACACCUGGAAAUUUAACUUGAACUUGAACUUCAACUUGAAUGCUAACUUGAGUAAUACAAUUAAAAUUCAUAUCCUAGUCGCGCCGCACCUAGUCAGAUAAAUUCAAAUAAUAACAUAUAAGGGCCUAUUUGAACUUUAAAAUAAUUUAAACUUUAUGAAUUUAUUCUAUAAGAUAAUGUAGAAAUCGAGAAAGCUAUAUCAUAUUUGAUUUUUUAAAACCAAAUUGAAAGUGUAUUGGAAAUAUUCGUAGACUUUUGGCAAAAUAUCUAUUACUUAAUUUAAUUAAAAUGCAUAGAAACUGAUUUACCGAAAGAACGAGAACAAAAUAACUAAAUAUAUGUAAUCAUCCCACUAACUAUAUGAUUAAAUUCUUAAUCCAUAAGAAGAGAAUAAAUGUUNCAGAUUAAAUUUUGAAGUUGAGUCAGUGUAAAAACAGAGCAUGUUUUGAUGAUGUUUGAUUGUGAUUCUUAUGUGCCUUAUGUGUUUGUGUUGCCUAUGUGUUUGAAUGAGAUUAGACGAGGUAUGAUUGAUUUUUGACUGUCUUUAAUGUAACGAAUUAUGGAUGCUAGAACCCUAAAACAUUAAAAGAUACCCUAGGCACGUAGAAUUAGACUUUGUCUUAUGACAAUUUCUUCACGAACUUAUCGACUCUUCAUCAAUGAAGGUCCGGGCGACAGAAAGUGAAGCCGAAGAAGAAACGACUCCACGCCAGCUUUAAGAACAAUUGAGGUGGGCAUUAUUUUAUUAUUACGUAUAUAGAGAUCCCCUGCGUGUCGUAGGCCUCUUAUGCGAAUAUAUGCAUGAUAUGUUUUGACUGUUAUUUUGAUCUUAUUAUAUGCUUAUAUGUUUAAUGCUCUUUAUGAAAAUGAAAUGUUAUGAAAAUGAAAUGUUUAUGAAUGAUUGACUGCCAAAAUGUUUAUGUUUUUAUAUGUAUCCUAUCUGUGUUGGUUCGCCAACUUUAAAGGAAAUCCAAUUGGGAUCCUAUGCUAGACAAAGGUCGCUAGCUAGGGUUAACGUGUACACUCAUGGAGACCGCGAGUCGCUUGCGACCGGUCUUGGCGUCCGUGGUAAGGAGGCCUCCUUCCCGGCGCGUGACAGAAAGGACAGAUAUGGAUCAUAUAGACUGAAAAUGGGAUACGCAUCCACCUUUAUGAAAAUGAAUGAAAUGUUUUAGUAAGCGCAGGUCAUUCAAGAAAACCCCUGUGUGUUACUGUUGGCAGUUCAAUUUAUAUAUGUAUGCAUGUUGUAUUUUUGGCUUAUGUCACUGAGUAUUUUUAUACUCAGCCCUGCAUGUAUUUCUAAAUGUGCAGGUUGAGCAGGCGAUGGAAUGGAUCGGUGUUGAGCGGAUUUCCCUUUUGAUGUUUAUGUAAUGAAACCUUGAGUAUGCAUCUCCAUAUGCAUAACUCACACGUUUUUUCGCUGCAAACACUCUGACUUAUUUAUCAUUUCUACUUGAACUUAUUACUACUUCAUUUUAAUUAACUUUCAGUUGGGGUCUAGUCGUUAUGGCAGACUCAUUUGUGAAUUACCCAAGUGGUUAUAUAUAUAUACCACUAGUUUGUUAUUAAUGUUGGUUACUUAGUAAAUCCCCUUUAAUUUCCGUUUCUUAUUGUUCACCCCAAGUCAUAACCCCGGUUAACCCGUCAUUGGGAUAGUGGGCUGUGACAAUUCGUCUAAUAGAAAAGACAACGGGAACAAACCUCAGAAAAUGGGGAAUACUUCAAGAGCUCCGGCCUAACCAUCGCCCUUAAGUAAACCGGGAUUUUCUGAAGCGAAAAGGACAGUACGAAAAAAGAACCCAAGCAGAGAACUGACCAUCCCUCACAGAAAUCCGAAGCAGAGAUCUACAAAAAAAAGCUACUAAUCGAAAGAAAAACAGCAACGAAACCAAAAGAAAGAGCAAAAUUCGUCAAUAGCCAAAGAGCGCUAUCAUCAACGACUCGAAGCCGAUAACGCGAAAGCAUUAUCGCCGAGCUACCAACAAGGUCCGACCCCUCUUGUAACACCCUAAUCUAAUUAAGAAGUUAAAUAUAAAAUUUAAAUAAAUAUUUAAUGCGGAAGUCUUAAAAUAAUUUAAAACUCACUUUUAAAAUAAAUAUUUUCGAAAAUAAUUUUAAGAAAAAGAAAUCUUUAAAUAAAAUUGGUUUUUAAAGCACUUUUAAAACGAUUUAUAAGAUAUCAAAAUUUUCAAUAAUGUAUUCAAAUAUAAAACUUGAUUUUGAAUUCAUAAAUUUUAACAACUUUAUUUUCAAAGCACGACAUGAAGAUGUCAGAAAAAUAAUUAACUAAUUAAUAAAACUUUUACUAAGGAAAAACUCUAAGUAUAAAAUAAUAUCUUUUUAGCAGCGGAAAAUAUAACAAAAUAAAAUCUUUAUAUGAUUAAAAAUUAUGUAUGUAUCCAUGUAUAUAUUUUCGUAAAGGUAUAAAUUCUUAAAUAAAUAUUUGAAAUGAAUUUAAAUAUAAAUUAAACAAGUCAUAAUAUAAUAACAUUUAUUUAAACAAAUCACACACAAAUCUCAAAUAGUAUAGAAUUUCAGAGUUUACAUAAUCAAGAGAUAUCACAUGAAAUAACAUAAUAUGUUUUAGGAAACAUUUAUCUUUAAAUAGAUUCGACGCGCCCAUUCGACUCUCCACGCGCCUCCAUAUCAAUCACUGAAACUGUUGAUAUGGGAUGAGCAUACAGGGUACACUCAGUGUGGGAACAUGCAAUAAUUGUCCAUGUUAAUAAAAUGGUAACACAUAUUGUCAUAACGUAACAUAACUUCCAUACGCACUGUGGCAAUCCAAGGACUUUAAUGUCCCGGACCCUAUAUGUGGGCCCCUGGCGACAAUAUAAUGGUUGCAACCCUGUAACAUGAAAUCGCUUUGUGGCAUACCAAGGACGGUGAAGUCCUGGACCAAUUAUGCUGGCCCCUAGCGAUAAAUAUUUUUACAACACAUACGGUAAACACAUAAUAUUAAAAUGGACAAAUAUUAACCACGUG